UACUAUACUCCCAUCCAUCUACACGUAACUACUCACUUUCCAACAUGUUAACAUAAAAACAAAAUAUAUUCAACUCCACAUAUUUGCAAAAAAAAAAGAAAUAGGAAUUAUUAAAUGUCAAAAAUAAAAACUAGGCACACAUGUAUACUCCCACACUAAACACGUCUACUUCCUAUCCAUCAUGGAAUGAAAAAGAAUUAUAUACUCCCUCCUCUGAUAUCUAAACUGUCAAAACUCCUCUCCUUACCUUAACUCACGCCCCCUAUCUCUCAGUUAUCGUCUACAAUUUACAAAACAGAAACAAUCCCAACUCUUCUCUCUCUCUCUCUCUCUCUUUCCACGAGCGACGCCGUCAACAUUUCGACGCCCUCGACGUCAGCCGGUUCUGCCACUGCUACUACGUCUCUGUCGCUGCUGCUGUCCACCACCUAUCCCGGUGGCCAGCUACUCCGACAACAGGGCAGGCAUAGGAAUUUAGGAAUUUGGAAUUGAAGAGAAACACAGAAGGCACAUCCCAAGCAUUAAAGAUUGAUGCUUUCACACGAAUCCAUCAUUUAACAGUUUCAAGAAUUUCAAAAGGGCUUAUUCCCGUGUGUGAUUAUGUGACACUAAUCAUGGAGUGGGAUGCAGGGAUUCAGGAAAAAAAAUAAUAGUGGAUAUACCUUUGGAAGGAAUGAAGGUAAUCACAACACUCUCAGCUUCUUCUUCCCACUGAAAUAUCAAAUUAUGGAAUCAACAAUUAUGGAGGUUUUUUUUUUCGUAUUCAAUAGAAUGGGAAGAAAUUACCUUCACAGAAGAGAUGAAAAACCGCUCAAGGGUUAUGGAACGAUAGAUGCAAAAAGAUGAAAACGUGGGGAAGGAGUAUAUAGAACAAAUUGAUCGGUUUGUUGGAGAGAUUUUAGGGAUUGGAGAUAUUGAUGAAGAGAAGAAAACGUGUAGAAAAGAUUUAGGAGAAGAGAUUUAUGUUGACUGCGGUAAUUUAAUAAGAAUUAGGAAUAAAUGGCUAAGCCUAAUUGAAUAAGGAUAAAGAGCUAGAAAAGAAUAAAAAAUAGACAAAAGUGAUAGGCCCAAAAAUAUAUGAAAUUUAGUGCUUAGAUUUAUUGUGGUGUUUUAUUAUUUUAGUACUUUGGUGUUAUUCCAAGUACUUAGACGAACGCCCAAUUUUUCCAUCGACGAUUCUCACAAUAAACUCGUCAACUGUUUUCACCA